UCAAGCGAACAAGUGCAUGUGGUGGAUGCCUUGGCGAUCACAGGCGAUGAAGGACGCGGUAGCCUGCGAAAAGCUACGGGGAGCUGGCAAACGAGCUUUGAUCCGUAGAUGUCCGAAUGGGGAAACCCGGCCCUUUUGGGUCAUCCUAGACUGAAUACAUAGGUCUAGUGAAGCGAACGCGGUGAACUGAAACAUCUAAGUAACCGCAGGAAAAGAAAUCAACCGAGAUUCCCAAAGUAGUGGCGAGCGAAAUGGGAAGAGCCUGUACUCUUUAUUUGUAUUGUUAGCCGAACGCUCUGGAAAGUGCGGCCAUAGCAGGUGAUAGCCCUGUAGGCGAAAACAGUAUGAAAGAACUAGGUGUACGACAAGUAGGGCGGGACACGUGAAAUCCUGUCUGAAGAUGGGGGGACCAUCCUCCAAGGCUAAAUACUCGUGAUCGACCGAUAGUGAACCAGUACCGUGAGGGAAAGGCGAAAAGAACCCCGGGAGGGGAGUGAAAUAGAUCCUGAAACCGCAUGCAUACAAACAGUCGGAGCCUCUUCGGGGGUGACGGCGUACCUUUUGUAUAAUGGGUCAGCGACUUACGUUCAGUAGCAAGCUUAACCGAAUAGGGCAGGCGUAGCGAAAGCGAGUCCGAAUAGGGCGUUCAGUUGCUGGGCGUAGACCCGAAACCAGGUGAUCUAUCCAUGGCCAGGAUGAAGGUGCGGUAACACGUACUGGAGGUCCGAACCCACUAACGUUGAAAAGUUAGGGGAUGAGCUGUGGAUAGGGGUGAAAGGCUAAACAAACCUGGAAAUAGCUGGUUCUCUCCGAAAACUAUUUAGGUAGUGCCUCGUGUCUCACCUUCGGGGGUAGAGCACUGUCAUGGUUGGGGGGUCUAUUGCAGAUUACCCCGCCAUAGCAAACUCCGAAUACCGAAGAGUGCAAUCACGGGAGACAGACAUCGGGUGCUAACGUCCGGUGUCAAGAGGGAAACAACCCAGACCGCCAGCUAAGGUCCCCAAAUAUGGCUAAGUGGGAAACGAAGUGGGAAGGCUAAAACAGUCAGGAGGUUGGCUUAGAAGCAGCCACCCUUUAAAGAAAGCGUAAUAGCUCACUGAUCGAGUCGUCCUGCGCGGAAGAUGUAACGGGGCUAAGCCAUAUACCGAAGCUGCGGAUGCGAGCUAGUCUCGCAUGGUAGGAGAGCGUUCCGUAAGCCUGCGAAGGUGCGUUGAAAAGCGUGCUGGAGGUAUCGGAAGUGCGAAUGCUGACAUGAGUAGCGAUAAAGGGGGUGAAAGGCCCCCUCGCCGUAAGCCCAAGGUUUCCUACGCAACGUUCAUCGGCGUAGGGUGAGUCGGCCCCUAAGGCGAGGCAGAAAUGCGUAGCUGAUGGGAAGCAGGUCAAUAUUCCUGCACCGUCGUUAGAUGCGAUGGGGGGACGGAUCGCGGAAGGUUGUCCGGGUGUUGGAAGUCCCGGUCGCUGCAUUGGAGAAGGCGCUUAGGCAAAUCCGGGCGCAGGAUUCAAGGGUGUGGCGCGAGCGCUCUAGGGCGCGAAGCAAUUGGAAGUGGUUCCAAGAAAAGCCUCUAAGCUUCAGUCUAACGAUGACCGUACCGCAAACCGACACAGGUGGGCGAGAUGAGUAUUCUAAGGCGCUUGAGAGAACUCGGGAGAAGGAACUCGGCAAAUUGGUACCGUAACUUCGGGAUAAGGUACGCCCUGGUAGCUUGACUGGCCUGCGCCAGAAGGGUGAAGGGGUUGCAAUAAACUGGUGGCUGCGACUGUUUAAUAAAAACACAGCACUCUGCAAACACGAAAGUGGACGUAUAGGGUGUGACGCCUGCCCGGUGCCGGAAGAUUAAAUGAUGGGGUGCAAGCUCUUGAUUGAAGUCCCGGUAAACGGCGGCCGUAACUAUAACGGUCCUAAGGUAGCGAAAUUCCUUGUCGGGUAAGUUCCGACCUGCACGAAUGGCGUAACGAUGGCCACACUGUCUCCUCCCGAGACUCAGCGAAGUUGAAGUGUUUGUGAUGAUGCAAUCUACCCGCGGCUAGACGGAAAGACCCCAUGAACCUUUACUGUAGCUUUGCAUUGGACUUUGAACCGAUCUGUGUAGGAUAGGUGGGAGGCUAUGAAACCGGAACGCUAGUUUCGGUGGAGCCGUCCUUGAAAUACCACCCUGGUUUGUUUGAGGUUCUAACCUUGGCCCGUGAUCCGGGUCGGGGACAGUGCAUGGUAGGCAGUUUGACUGGGGCGGUCUCCUCCCAAAGCGUAACGGAGGAGUACGAAGGUACGCUAGGUACGGUCGGAAAUCGUGCUGAUAGUGCAAUGGCAUAAGCGUGCUUAACUGCGAGACCGACAAGUCGAGCAGGUGCGAAAGCAGGUCAUAGUGAUCCGGUGGUUCUGUAUGGAAGGGCCAUCGCUCAACGGAUAAAAGGUACUCUGGGGAUAACAGGCUGAUACCGCCCAAGAGUUCAUAUCGACGGCGGUGUUUGGCACCUCGAUGUCGGCUCAUCUCAUCCUGGGGCUGUAGCCGGUCCCAAGGGUAUGGCUGUUCGCCAUUUAAAGAGGUACGUGAGCUGGGUUUAAAACGUCGUGAGACAGUUUGGUCCCUAUCUGCCGUGGGCGUUGGAAGUUUGAAGGGGGCUGCUCCUAGUACGAGAGGACCGGAGUGGACGAACCUCUGGUGUACCGGUUGUGACGCCAGUCGCAUCGCCGGGUAGCUAUGUUCGGAAGAGAUAACCGCUGAAAGCAUCUAAGCGGGAAACUCGCCUUAAGAUGAGACUUCCCCGGGGACUUGAUCCCCUUGAAGGGUCGUUCGAGACCAGGACGUUGAUAGGUCGGGUGUGUAAGCGCAGUAAUGCGUUCAGCUAACCGAUACUAAUUGCCCGUACGGCUUGAUCCU
rnacentral:rRNA from 1 species